AAAAAGUAAGUCGAUGACGCACCAGUAUUUCCAAUCAAUUGGAAGAAAAUAAAAUGAAAGAGAAAUAGCAAAACCCUUCGUUAAGGCAAGGAGAGGGAAAAGGGUGAAAAUGAAAAGGGGGUGUAGAGAAUUAGAAGAAAUCAAAUUUUUUGUGAGAAGAAGCGAAAAUUUUCCCAAUUUUC